AUUGAACGCUGGCGGCAGGCCUAACACAUGCAAGUCGAACGAUUGGCGGACGGGUGAGUAAUGUCUGUGAUACUGCCCGAUGGCGGGGGAUAACUACUGGAAACGGUAGCUAAUACCGCAUACCAUCGGCUUUUCCCCGAGGGGAUUAGCUAGUAGGUGGGGUAACGGCUCACCUAGGCGACGAUCCCUAGCUGGUCUGCGAGGAUGACCAGCCACACUGGAACUGAGACACGGUCCAGACUCCUACGGGAGGCAGCAGUGGGGAAUAUUGCACAAUGGGCGCAGGCCUGAUGAAGCCAGGCCGCGGGUAUGAAGAAGGCCUUCGGGUUGUAAAGUACUUUCAGCGAGGAGGCGUUACUCGAAGAAGAAGCAACGGCUAACUCCGUGCCAGCAGCCGCGGUAAUAC
rnacentral:rRNA from 1 species